GUAGGGAAUAUUGGACAAUGGGCGAAAGCCUGAUCCAGCCAUGCCGCGUGGACGAUGAAGGCCUUCGGGUUGUAAAGUCCUUUUAUAGGGGAAGAACCACUUGGGGAGGAAAUGCCCUGAGCCUGACGGUACCCUAUGAAUAAGCAACGGCUAACUCCGUGCCAGCAGCCGCGGUAAUACGGAGGUUGCGAGCGUUGUUCGGAUUUACUGGGCGUAAAGGGAGCGCAGGCGGCUUGGUCAGUCUAAAGUGAAAGCCCGGGGCUCAACCCCGGAAGUGCUUUGGAUACUACCAGGCUUGAGUACGUGAGAGGUGAGUGGAAUUCCAGGUGUAGCGGUGAAAUGCGUAGAUAUCUGGAGGAACACCGGUGGCGAAGGCGGCUCACUGGCACGAAACUGACGCUGAGGCUCGAAAGCGUGGGGAGCGAACGGG
rnacentral:rRNA from 1 species